rnacentral:rRNA from 1 species
CUCGUAGGCGGCCAACUAAGUCAGACGUGAAAUCCCUCGGCUUAACCGGGGAGCUGCGUCUGAUACUGGAUGGCUUGAGGUUGGGAGAGGGAUGCGGAAUUCCAGGUGUAGCGGUGAAAUGCGUAGAUAUCUGGAGGAACACCGGUGGCGAAGGCGGCAUCCUGGACCAAAUCUGACGCUGAGGAGCGAAAGCCAGGGAGCAAC